rnacentral:rRNA from 1 species
AGCGAACGCUGGCGGCAGGCUUAACACAUGCAAGUCGAACGCCCCGCAAGGGGAGUGGCAGACGGGUGAGUAACACGUGGGAACGUACCCUUUGGUUCGGAAUAACUUGGGGAAACUCAAGCUAAUACCGGAUAAGCCCUUAUGGGGAAAGGUUUACUGCCGAAGGAUCGGCCCGCGUCUGAUUAGCUAGUUGGUGAGGUAAUGGCUCACCAAGGCGACGAUCAGUAGCUGGUCUGAGAGGAUGAUCAGCCACACUGGGACUGAGACACGGCCCAGACCCCUACGGGAGGCAGCAGUGGGGAAUAUUGGACAAUGGGGGCAACCUUGAUCCAGCCAUGCCGCGUGAGUGAUGAAGGCCUUAGGGUUGUAAAGCUCUUUUACCCGGGACGAUAAUGACUGUACCGGGAGAAUAGGCCCCGGCUAACUUCGUGCCAGCAGCCGCGGUAA